AUUGAACGCUGGCGGCAGGCCUAGCACAUGCAAGUCGAACGGUAACAGGAAGAAGCUUGCUUCUUUGCUGACGAGUGGCGGACGGGUGAGUAAUGUCUGGGAAACUGCCUGAUGGAGGGGGAUAACUACUGGAAACGGUAGCUAAUACCGCAUAACGUCGCAAGACCAAAGAGGGGGACCUUCGGGCCUCUUGCCAUCGGAUGUGCCCAGAUGGGAUUAGCUAGUAGGUGGGGUAACGGCUCACCUAGGCGACGAUCCCUAGCUGGUCUGAGAGGAUGACCAGCCACACUGGAACUGAGACACGGUCCAGACUCCUACGGGAGGCAGCAGUGGGGAAUAUUGCACAAUGGGCGCAAGCCUGAUGCAGCCAUGCCGCGUGUAUGAAGAAGGCCUUCGGGUUGUAAAGUACUUUCAGCGGGGAGGAAGGGAGUAAAGUUAAUACCUUUGCUCAUUGACGUUACCCGCAGAAGAAGCACCGUCUAACUCCGUG
rnacentral:rRNA from 1 species